GAUGAACGCUGGCGGCGUGCCUAAUACAUGCAAGUCGAGCGAACAGACGAGGAGCUUGCUCCUCUGACGUUAGCGGCGGACGGGUGAGUAACACGUGGAUAACCUACCUAUAAGACUGGGAUAACUUCGGGAAACCGGAGCUAAUACCGGAUAAUAUAUUGAACCGCAUGGUUCAAUAGUGAAAGACGGUUUUGCUGUCACUUAUAGAUGGAUCUGGGCCGCAUUAGCUAGUUGGUAAGUUAACGGGUUACCAAGGCGAGGAUGCGUAGCCGACCUGAGAGGGUGAUCGGCGACACUGGAAGUGGGACACGGUCCAGACUCCUAAGGGAGGCAGCAGUAGGGAAUCGUCCGCAAUGGGCGGAAGCCUGACGGAGCAGCGCCGCGUGAGUGAUGAAGGUCUUCGGAUCGUAAAACUCUGUUAUUAGGGAAGAACAAAUGUGUAAGUAACUAUGCACGUCUUGACGGUACCUAAUCAGAAAGCCACGGCUAACUACGUG
rnacentral:rRNA from 1 species